rnacentral:rRNA from 1 species
CGAGAGGUGCAAGACUCGGCCGAACUGUUCAGUAACACGUGGACAAUCUGCCCUGAAGAAGAGAAUAAUCCCGGGAAACUGGGGGUAAUGCUCUAUAGUCCGGGAGGACUGGAAUGUUCUCCGGACGAAAGAUCCGUCGCUUCAGGAUGAGUCUGCGGCCGAUUAGGUAGUUGUUGGGGUAAAAGCCCAACAAGCCUGUCAUCGGUACGGGUUGUGGGAGCAAGAGCCCGGAGAUGGAUUCUGAGACACGAAUCCAGGCCCUACGGGGCGCAGCAGGCGCGAAAACUUUACAAUGCGGGCAACCGUGAUAAGGAAACCCCGAGUGCCACCACAGGGUGGCUGUCCACCAGUGUAAACAACUGGUGAAGAAAGGGCCGGGCAAGACCGGUGCCAGCCGCCGCGGUAAUACCGGCGGCUCGAGUGGUGGCCGCUUUUACUGGGCUUAA